rnacentral:rRNA from 1 species
AAGCAGGGGAUCACUUGUGACCUUGCGCUAAUAGAUGAGCCUAAGUCGGAUUAGCUAGUUGGUGGGGUAAAGGCCUACCAAGGCGACGAUCUGUAGCGGGUCUGAGAGGAUGAUCCGCCACACUGGGACUGAGACACGGCCCAGACUCCUACGGGAGGCAGCAGUGGGGAAUAUUGGACAAUGGGGGGAACCCUGAUCCAGCCAUGCCGCGUGUGUGAAGAAGGCCUUUUGGUUGUAAAGCACUUUAAGCGAGGAGGAGGCUACUCUAGUUAAUACCUAGAGAUAGUGGACGUUACUCGCAGAAUAAGCACCGGCUAACUCUGUGCCAGCAGCCGCGGUAAUACAGAGGGUGCGAGCGUUAAUCGGAUUUACUGGGCGUAAAGCGUGCGUAGGUGGCCAAUUAAGUCAAAUGUGAAAUCCCCGAGCUUAACUUGGGAAUUGCAUUCGAUACUGGUUGGCUAGAGUAUGGGAGAGGAUGGUAGAAUUCCAGGUGUAGCGGUGAAAUGCGUAGAGAUCUGGAGGAAUACCGAUGGCGAAGGCAGCCAUCUGGCCUAAUACUGACACUGAGGUACGAAAGCAUGGGGAGCAAACAGGAUUAGAUACCCUGGUAGUCCAUGCCGUAAACGAUGUCUACUAGCCGUUGGGGUCUUUGA